rnacentral:rRNA from 1 species
GAGGAUGCGUCGGGAGUGGCCCCCAUCUAAGUGCCCUGGAACGGGCCGUCAUAGAGGGUGAGAAUCCCGUCUGGGAUGGGGUGCCCACGCCCGUGUGAAGCUCCUUCGACGAGUCGAGUUGUUUGGGAAUGCAGCUCUAAAUGGGUGGUAAAUUUCAUCUAAAGCUAAAUACUGGCCGGAGACCGAUAGCGCACAAGUAGAGUGAUCGAAAGAUGAAAAGCACUUGAAAAGAGAGUUAAACAGCACGUGAAAUUGUUGAAAGGGAAGCGCUUGCGACCAGACUCGCCCACGGGGUUCAGCCGGCAUUCGUGCCGGUGUACUUCCCCGCGGGCGGGCCAGCGUCGGUUUGGGCGGCCGGUCAAAGGCCCUUGGAAUGUACCGCCCCCCGGGGCGGCUUAUAGCCAAGGGUGCCAUGCGGCCAGCCCGGACCGAGGAACGCGCUCGGCCGGACGCUGCAUAAGUUCAAACGUGAUGUU